CCAUUUAUUGAGUAGACUGUCUUUAGCCCAUUGUAUGUGCUUGCUUCCCCUGUUCAACAUUAAUUGACUGUAGAUGUGUGGGUUUAUUUCUGGGCUCCCUGUUCUGUUCCAUUGAUCUAUGUGUCUGUUUUUGUGCCAGUACCAGGCUGUUUCGAUUCCUAUGGCCUUAUAAUGUAGUUUGAUCUUAGGCAGUGUGAUUCCUGCAGCUUCAUUCUGCUCUCUCAGGAUCUCUAUUGUUAUUGGGGGCCUUUUGUGGGUCCAUGUAAAUUUUUGAAAUAUUUGUUCUAGUUCUGUGAAUUACAUCAUUGGAAUCUAGAUAGGAAGUGUGUUG